rnacentral:lncRNA from 1 species
CUUGUAUAACUUUUACUCUUUUUCAGUUUUCUUUAAAGUAAUUGACUAUCAUAUUCUUUUUUUAAUUAAGAAGAUUUUUAUUCCAGAAAUUCAAAGGUGGCUUACAAAACCCCAAAACACCUAUUCAAGAUCUUUGUAUAGCCAGGCACAGUUUAAAGUCAGAUCUAGCCUUGGGGUUUAAAUAUGGUGCCGCGUCGUGCACAACUUUCACAUGAUGUCAAAAAAGAAAACGUGUAAGCCCGCAUUGUCCUCUUUAUUCAGCUUCUUAAUAUCCAAAUGGGAUAACUUGCAUUUAUUUCUGGUUCCUAAGGAAAACAAAGCAGAACAGAGUUCUAGAUCCCAGAUCCUUCCAGAGUAGCCCCGGCUGUCCUAACGACUUACAUUCAGAUUUUUAUGUGGCACGGUGACGCAUAUCCAUACACCACUACUUGGGAUGCUGAGGCAGAAGUGAGUUGGGGACACCUUGGACUGCAAAGACCACCUGCCUCUCUUGGGGUGGAGCCACCCAUGGUGGACAGAGUUCUCCUACAUCAACCAUUAAUCAAGAAAAUCCCCUGCCCGACGGGCUUGCCUACCGGCCAAUGUGAAAGAGGCAAUUCCUCAGUUGAGAGUCCCUCUUCCCAGGAACCAUCAGGUAUCGGGCUUCAGGAAAGCAGAUCUCCCAGAUAAACUGGUUGCUUCUCAUAAAUAGUGUCCAAUAACACUGCAAGGAGGAAGAGCCUAAUUACCCUAGGAUAGCCCACUUUGCCAACAAUGGAGGUAUUAUGCUGCUGUGGAGAGGACAAGUAGAAAAGUUUCUUCCAGUAUUUCCACAGGCACCCACAGCUAAGCACUGAACCAUACUCCUGGAAUCUAGUUGUGGAGAGGGAGGAGGGAUGAACAAAGGAGCCAAGACAGUGCUAGAAAAACCCACAGAAACAGUUGACCUGACCAGUUGAGAACAUGGAGACCCCAGUCAUAAAGCUGAGGAACCAGCAUUGGACCGAACCAGGCCCUCUGAAUGUGGGUGUCAGCUAGGAGGCCGAGGCAGUCUAUGGGGCCUCUAACAGUGGAGCCAGUGUUUAUCCCUAGAGCACAAAUGGACUUUGGGAGCCCAUUCCCUAUGGAGGGGUACCACCACAGCCUAGAUGCAAUAAGGUGGGCCUAGC